CCCUUAGAUGUUCUGGGCCGCACGCGCGCUACACUGUUCGACGCAGCGAGUCUUAACCUUGACCGAAAGGUUUGGGUAAUCUUCAGCAAAGUCGAACGUGAUGGGGAUCGAUCAUUGCAAUUAUUGAUCGUGAACGAGGAAUUCCUAGUAAGUGCAAGUCAUCAGCUUGCGCUGAUUACGUCCCUGCCCUUUGUACACACCGCCCGUCGCUACUACCGAUUGAAUGGUUUAGUGAGAUCUCUGGGUUGACGCUGGCUAGGGGGCGACCCUUGGCCAGGCUGUCGAGAAACUGCUCAAACUUGAUCAUUUAGAGGAAGUAAAAGUCGUAACA
rnacentral:rRNA from 1 species